ACGGCGAGUGAAGCGGGAAGAGCUCAUGUUGUAAAUCUGGAUGAGGGUUCCUCGUCCCGAAUUGUAGUCUAGAGAUGCGUGCUCAGCUACUCUCCAGGGCUAAGUCUGUUUGUGAAAGACAGCAUCAUGGACGGUGAUAAUCCGGUUCUUGCCUUGGAUGUUGUAGCGUUUUGAGCCGUCCUCAACGAGUCGAGUUGCUUGGGAUUGCAGCUCUAAGUGGGUGGUAAAUUCCAUCUAAAGCUAAAUAUUGGUGGGAGACCGAUAGCGAACAAGUACCGUGAGGGAAAGAUGAAAAGAACUUUGAAAAGAGAGUCAAAUAGUACCUGAAACUGCUGAAAGGGAAGCGAAUGAAGUCAGUGUUGCGCUUUGUGCUCUGCAUCCUCCCUGCGGGGAUUGUGUAUCGAGGACUUUGCGCUUGUCAGGAUGAGUUCUCUGCCGCGGGAUAUGUUUUGCGUGCUGGACGCUUCGGCUGAACAUGCAUUCUCUGUCGUGGCUUGGACUGAGGUUCCAUCUUGCCUUUGCCUAUGCGUUUAUCUCUCGUCGCUGUCUCUGUUCUACUGCUUGCAGUGCUCAGUUGCCGUGGUUGGACUUGGCGUAUUAUGCAUGCAAGGUCAGGAUCCUGACGAAAUGGCUUUAUUUACCCCGUCUUG
rnacentral:rRNA from 1 species